GAAUCUUGGUGUUUGGAGGAAGAAGACGAGGCCGGAAGAGGCGGAGAAAGGUGUUGUUGGCGGGGUUGAGAGGCACAUCUUUGGAAAAAGCCACGGCGGAGUCGGUGGCGGCGGUUUCAUCAGUAGCGGCUACUGAGGGAAAUGCGAUACUGCGAGUGACAGAGCCAUCUGGGUUAGGGACGAGGCCGACGGACUCAUAAGAGUCCAGGGAGGAUGGUGGUGGCGCAGAGUCUGCCAUGGCUGUUUAAGUGGUAAGAGUUUGUUUUGAAGAAGAUAUACAAAGGAGUCUGGUUGCGUAAUAUUAAUGGAGCUAUACGGAGAGGAGUGAGCAACUUCUUGUUCUGGGAUCGAUGGAUCGACCGAGAGUUGAGUUUCUAUCACAAUUCUUUAGGUUGAAUACUUGACCAGUUUUGGCGGCUAUUCGAUUAAAAUCAAUAAUCUUCCUGUGCAAGUAAUGACUUUGUUGCAUGUGAUCAAAUCUUAACUACACUUUUUUGAGCUUUGACCCAAAAUAGUGAGUUUUAAAAAAGAAUUCCAAAAAAUAAAGUUGUUUUGAAAAUAAUGCCCGAUCUAAUGCGUCUGUGUCAUAUAAGCUGCCACGUCAUAAAACCGUAGUUGAUGACUACAGUUUUAUUUUUCUAAAGUGGUUAGAAAUCGUAGUUACCAACUAUGGUUUUAACUUUAAGUUUAAAGCCGUAGUUGGUGACUACGACUUUGACUUUUUUUUUAAAUGGUCAAAGCCGUAGUCACCAAUUGCGGUUUUAACUUUAUAUAUAUUUAUAUAUAACUUUAAUUUUUUUAAUAAAAAUAUUAUAUUAUUUUGAUUUUAAAUAUACUUAUUUCAUUAUUUUAAAAAUAAUAAUAUACGAAAUUAAAUAAUUGAUAUUUUUAAUUUGAUAUAAAAAUAUAUUUUUAAAUUUUAUUAAAACAAUAGGCACUAUAUUUAAUAUAAAUAUAAUUAAUUAAUUAAAAUAAAAUAUAAUAAAUUAUAUUUAUUUAAAAUAAAUAAAUUAUAAAUGUCUAUUUAGAAAAAUAAAAAAGUAAUAUAAAUUAUUAUAUUAAUUAAUAAUUUUUUAUAUAUUAUAUAUAAGUGGUAUAUAAUACCUCACACACACACACAUAUAUAUAUAAAAGUUUAAUUUAAGUUUAAAAUUUAUCACAUUUUUAUUUAAAUAUAUAAAUAAAUUUUAUUAAAACAAUUGACAUUAUAUUUAAUAUAAAUAUAAUUAUUUAAUUAAAAUUAAAUAUAAAUAAAAUAUAAUAAAUUAUGUUUAUUUAAAAUAAAUAAAUUAUAAAUGCCUUAUUUGGAGAAAAAAAUAAUAUAAAUUAUUAUAUUAAUUAAUAAUUUUUUUAUAUAUUAUAUGUAAAUAGUAUAUAAUAUCACACACACACACACACAUAUAUAUAUAUAUAUAAAAGUUUAAUUUAAGUUUAAAAUUUAACAUAUUUAUUUAAAUAUAUAAAUAAAUUAUUAUCAUAUCAAUAUAAUAUUAUGAACUUAAAUUAAAAUAUGAUAAAUUUUAAACUUAAUUGAACUUAUAUACAUGUGACAUUAUAUACCACUUACAUAUAGUAUAUAAAAAAUUAUUAAUUAAUAUAAUAAUUUAUAUUAUUUGUUUUUUAAUAGGCUUUCAUAAUUUAUUAUAUUUUAUUUAUAUUUAAAUAUAAUUAACUAAAUAUAUUUAUAUUAAAUAUAGAGUAGAUUAUUUUAAUAAAAUUUAAAAAUAUAUUUAUAUCAAAUUAAAAAUAUCAAUUAUUUAAUUUCAUAUAUUAUUAUUUUUAAAAUAAUGAAAUAAGUAUAUUUAAAAUCAAAAUAAUAUAAUAUUUUUAUUAAAAAAAUUAAAGUUAUAUAUAAAUAUAUAUAAAGUUAAAACCGCAGUUGGUGACUACGGCUUUGACCAUUUUAAAAAAAAGUCAAAGCCGUAGUCACCAACUACGACUUUAAAAUUAAAGUUAAAACUGUAAUUGGUAACUACGGUUUCUAACCACUUUAGAAAAAUAAAACCGUAGUCACCAACUACGGUUUUAUGACGUGGCAGCUUAUGUGGCACAGACGCAUUAGAUCGGGCAUUAUUUUCAAAACAACUUUAUUUUUUGGAAUUUUUUUUUAAAACACACUAUUUUGGGUCAAAGCUCAAGAAUAAGUACAAAAGAAUCUUCAAGAUGGGUGUUUCUGAUAGUCAACAAACAUAGUUUCUAAUGGCUUGCAACUUUAAGGAAAAUUAUCGGAGUUUUGACCCAAAAUAAGAUAUUAAAAAAAAAAAAAUCAAAAAGUAAAUUGACUUUCAAAAUAAUGCCUGUUGUAGGAGUCUAGGUCAUAAAAUCGUAAUUACAAAUUAUGAUUUUAAAUUUUUUUUAAAUAAGUCAAAACUAUAGUUACUAACUACGGUUUUGAAUCAUUUUCAGUUCAUUUCUUUUUUCGUUUAGGUUUCUUACCUUUAGGUUUUUGCCUUCUUAUUUGUCCUUUUUGUUGUCACUCAUUGCAUUUGGUUGUCUUUGGUUCAUCAUUGGCUGAAAUUCAAUAUUUUCCAAAUUUUCAUAUUGUUCUAUCAUUGGUCAAGUAAGAUUUAUGAGUUUUUUUAGUUUACAUAUAUAUAUAUAUAUAUUUUUUUUGUAAAUCUGUUUGGCUUUCACAUAUUUUAGUUUAUUGUUGUGGAUGUGUUUGGUUUCUGAUUUUAUUUUCAUCUUGAGCUUGGUAGAGAUGUGUUUGGUUUUUUAUUUUAUUUUUAUUGUGAGUUUAGCAAAGAGAAAAAAGUUUUGUUUAGGAAAAGAAAACGGAUAUGGAAUAGAGGGCCACCGUGGAUUUUUUUUUUUUGUUAAAGAUACCAAAAAUGGAGGGGACCAUUGUUAAGAACUCCAAAAAUGUAGGGGACCACAAUUAAAAAUUCCAAAAAUGCAGGGGACUAUAGUUAAGAACUCCAAAUAUGUAGGGUACCACAGUUAAAAACUCCAAAAAUGAAGGAGACCAUUCUUAAGAACUCCAAAAAUGAAGGGGAUGAACAUUGAUUUUUGUUAUAGAAACAGAAAAAAUCAGAGUACUUUGCUUUUAUUUUUCUUCUUCCCACUUUUUAUCGAAUGCUGAGUUAAAGGCAAGCUUUAUAUACAAAUGAGCAUGUAUUUAUUUAUGUUUUCAAUUACCUUCAAUUAUGUUUCAAUCCAUUAUUCUACAAAUAACAAUCAAGAUAGUACUCAAAACUAAUCAACAACAUAUAAAAUUAUGAAACCAAUAACAAAGUAUGAUUGAUAAUGAAUGAUUGGAAUGAACAUUGAAAUAAAACCGGUUAAGCUAAAAAUUCUAUGAGUUGUAUGGAAAUCAUUGACUGUAAUACAAGAGUCACCUAAGCUCCAAGUUGAUGUUAUGAGAAUCAAACAAAAUACAAGGUAAAGUCCAAAGCCUAACAUUCUCUGAGGAAGAUAAAAAAAAAAUUAUAGGGGCUAGUCUAGGAUUUAAUGUUACUCAAAGGUGAUACCAUUCUUGACAUUAAAUGCUAAGUCUUAAUGGUGAAGCACUUAAGUUUCCUAUUCUAUCACUUUGAAGCAAUGUAGUAGUCUAUUUUCUUUUUCAUGAAACAAAUCUAGGUUUCUUUCCACCAUGAUAAUGCAUAAUACUAUAUCAAUAAGCAAACACACACGCAUAGAAUAUGUUGCAACUGACAUAAUAAUUUUUAUUAUACUUCAAAUCAUAAUCCUAUCUUAUCCUUCUAGACUAGCUUCUUUAUAAGAGCCCAUCUAGUUUGGCCAACAAACUAACCACUCUUUUGGUCUUCUAAUUCAUAAAGAACAACCUAGAACAUUUUCAUUAACAUUCCUUCCAUGCCUCUUUUCAAGGGGCCAAUGAAUAAGGCUUUAUCUUCAUAUUCCAUUAUAUCUAACUCAAUUGAAUUAUAUUUAUUACAUAGGCAUUGAACUAAUAGACAUAUGUUAUCUUGCUUUAAUAGUAAUUGAGAUUACUCAAGGCCAGAGGGUUUUUAAAGGAAGAUUAAGAAAUUGACAUCGUUUCAUAUAGAAAUAACACUAAAAGAUGAAAAAUGGGGCUAAUGACUUUUAAAUCUUCUUAACUAAGUACAAAGAAAUGAAAACAUUUAUAAAGUACUGGAAUUUCUAUUGUCAAUUCAAUUCCAUUCUUUUUCCCAAAUUCCUUCAUUCUGGGUAAAAUGUAAAAAUUCAAACUAAUCAAGUUUCUAAAGUUAAUCCAAUUAGGAGAUCUUGCAAUGGAUUUCAUAAUAGAAUAGGUGUUCCGAAAUUUUCUCUAUUAGAGAUUUAAAUCCCUAUUUGAUUCCAAUAUUGGUUAUUGUAGUUUUAUUAAGGUUUUCUCACUUAGAAAGUUUUACAAGAUUCUACAUAGUUGCAACACAACUUAAAAAGAUAUUAGAGUUUGAUUAAUUUAGUCUUUUGGUUUGAUUAUUUAAGCCCAACUUACUUAAUUUCUUCCUCCCCUUAAUUCUACAUCUUUUAGUCAUUCUUUUCCUCCUCAAUUAUUAUGCUAGUCAUAAGUGCAAUACAACUCAAACUAGAUGCCAUUUCUUCAUUUUCUAACCUAAAAACCAAACUUGUAUAACCUUAAAGCCCAUUUCUACCUUCUAGUAAUCAACCCAACAUCCAAAACCAAAUUCCAACAACUUAUUUUCUAGAAUUCCAAUAAUAUUUAUUUAUCUGAGAACCCAUAAAAAUUGGCUUCCGUCUUCAAAAACCUAAGCCAUAACCUCUCAUAGGCUUCCACCCACCAAAUUAAGUGAGUCUCUAGUACCUUCAGAAAUGUUGUCUCUACCAUGUGUCCAAUAGCUACUUUUGAUCUCAAAAAUAUAUUCACAUCUUCAUCUAUAUAUCUAAUAUAUACAACUUGGAAUGAAAAUUUCAAAUAUGACACAAUAUCCAUAGAUAUAACAUUGAGAUUCUCAAAAUUAUCAACACAUCAACACAUUCACUUUGCUUAGUCAUAGACACAAAUAAUUAUUAGUUAUUCGAUAUCUUUAAUGUUUCUUUAUGAAUUAAAAUUCAUAUUUGCAUUGAGGAAACAAUUUCUACUACUUUAUGGAAGAGACUUGAUAUUAUAAAAGGUUUAUAUCCAAUAUCAGAAAAUGAAAAUACUAUUACUAUUGCUUAAAUGGAGUGCAUGCUAUUGCCACUUCUUCUAUAUUGUAUUCUUGUGUAUCUUUAUCCUUAAAAAUGAUUUAUUAUCUAAAUAAUAUAAUUGAGAUAUCAAUUAUUUAUGCAUUUGAUGAGUUUCAACCCAUUUUUAAAACUUAAAUCUACAGGAGAAUUCAAACUAACAUGUUGCUAACAAAGUCGAUUUCAAGUAACCUAUUACUAAAAAAGCUAAAGAAAAGCACAAUGCUCUUAUAUUCUACAAUUGUUUUAAGUUAUUAAUUUGCUUCAAGCUAUUUCCCAAAACUCUCAUAGUUAGAAAAUCCCUAUAAAGGCAUCUCAUAGUGUAAAACCCGGAUCAAAGAAGCUAUCUUCUCCAUAUUUGCAACAUUUUUAGAUGGUCCAACUUGAAGAUCCUUUUAAUCAUUUUCUUCUUUUGGUGCUUGGUCCUAUGUUAUUGGUUCCCAAUACCAUCCAUAUCAGAUUUACUCCCACUCAGGCCAAAAAAAUAAUCUCUUCAGUAUAGAUAUGUUCAAAAGCAAGUAAUUUCUUGGGUUCAUAUACUUAUAGUGUAUGGCUUAAUAAUAAUGUGUAUUUAUGUCCCCUUAGGUAAUGAAAGUUUAACUCUAUACAAACUCCAAGUGGCAUCAAUUGGGUUAAGCAACAAUUUGCUUGACUUAUAUUUGGGUAUGGUAGAUGAAUGUCUUGGUGGAAUGAUGAUUUCUUCAUAUACCACAUGGUGCUUAAAGCAUUCAAACUCGAAUUGCUUAUUGUAGUUCCAAUAAACAUGCUUUUAUAAAAUAAAAAAAAAAGAAUAAGAUCACAUAUAUAAAGAAGGAAUAUACAAAGAAGGAUGAGAAAAUACUCAAAGGAGAGCUAAAAGUUUUCUUAAUUGCUUUAUAUAUGGUUUAAAGUAAAAAGAAUUAUUAAUAUUAAACAGAUUUAUUAAAUGUCUAUUUGUUUUCAUUUUUAAAAUGUUUAUAUAUAAACAUAUUAUUUAUUUUUAAUAUUAAAAUAAUGUUUGAAAUUUUUUUUAAAAGAUGAUUUUUUUUAAAAAGUUUGUUAAAUGUGUUUUUUAAAUUAAAAUUAAAAUUAAAUAGAUUUAUAAAAUGUUUAUUUGUUUUCAUUUUUAAUAUGUUUAUAUAUAAACAUAUUACUUCUUUUUAAUAUUGAAAUAAUGUUUAUAUAUAUAAAUGAUUUUUUUUCUAUAAUUGUGUAUUUGAUAUUUUAUUAAUAUAUUUUUUUAGUGGUGAGUUAUCUUUUAUUUGAUUUUUAGAUUUAAUUUUUUUUUCUACUUUUAGGUUUAAUCAAAUAUCAAGUGAUUUAUGAAUAACAACAUAAUUAUUUAAUUAAAUAUUAUUUAAUGGUUAAUAAUAUUUUAUUUUAUUUUAAUAUAUGAUAUUUUAUAUAAAAUAAAAUAAAAAUUAUAGGUGGAUUAUUUUUUAUUUAAUUUUGAGAUUCUUCUAAUUGUUUAGCCUUUUAGGUUUCACUAAACAUUUAUUGAUUUAUAGCCCACUAUCUAAGUUUUAAAUAAAAAUUUUAUCAAAUAUUUAUCUAUGAAUAUAUUUAUAUCAUAGAUAACUAUUUAAAUAAAAAAUUUAUUAUUAUGAAGUGAUUUAUAUUUUUCCCCAUAAUGUGUAAGAAGGUGUUUUAUUAUACAAUUGUGUAUUCACGUGAUAAAAGAUUAUACACAAUUUCUCUUGAACAUUCUUGUAUGUGUGUUUUUGUAAUUAUUUUAAUAAACAAGUAUGUUAAGUUCAAAACACAAAGACUUGGUAUUAUUUUCAUUGAUUAUUAAACCAUUUGAUAUUUUAUUUUUUGUAGGUAAAUCAUGUCUGAAUCUAUUGUUCCUAUGAUUUGUUUUUGUAAAGGAAAAAUGUUGAGGACAGAAACAAAUGUAAAAUAUGUUGGUGAUCAAGUUGUAAUUGUGUCUUUGGAUGUGCCUAUUAGUUCAACAUAUCUAUCUAUGAUAUACUCAAGAACUGGCAUUGACAAAAAAUAAUUUCAAUUAGUCCUCAACUGUAGGUAUCAUUUAAAAAAGGAAAAUAGGUUUCAACCUUGUCCAAUAUGGGAUGAUAAUACUUUAUACCAAAUGUUGAAAUUGGUUAACACAUUUGGAAUGGACGAAAUUGAAUUGUAUAUUGAACAAGUGCUAGUACAAGCACGAGUGAGAGGGCAAUUAUUGGGUAACUUGACACAUUUAUUACUUGGAGAAAAUGAUAAUGUUGAGGAAUUUGAGUAUGGUUGUGGACCUAGUAGCGCCCCAGUUGCAAUGACUUAUGAGUGUAGAGAAGAUGAAGAUGAAGAAGAAUGUGAAUCCCAAGAAGGUGAUGAUGAAAGUGAGGGAGCAGAAGAUGUUCAACAUGAUGGCAAUGAGACAUUCAAAUUUAUGGAUGAGAAAACAAUAAUGUUAAUGUUGUUUCAUCUUUCUUAGCUCUUCACGAAGCAAUGGAAAAUGAACAAGGAAGAUAUGUCUUCGUGGAUGGGGAAGGUUGUGAUGUGUCAAAUAACCCAGAUCCUGAGGACCCAAUGGAGUUUUCCCCUGUUCAGUAUCACUCGGCACCAUCUUUGCAAUUUGAAAAUGUAGAAAACAUUAGUAUUGUCGUUUCAAGUGACUAGACCCCAUGGGGGAACACUAAUAUUGGAAACUCAGGUGGAGAGUUCAUGGUUGGCCAAGUUUUUAAUUCAAAAGUAGAUUUAGAACAUGCUGCGAAGUUGUACUCUUUUAGUGCACAUGCACCAAGUGUAUGUUCUUGUUUUGUUAACUAAAAAGUUGUUUGUCUUAAGAUGCAAUAAGAUUGAACAAUCUCAAUGUCCAUAGAAGCUUCGUGUUAUGGUCAUAAAAGGUACAUCUUUAUUUGCAAUCAAUAAAUACAAUGGUAUGCACAAAUGUGUAAAUCAUUGCUUGAAUCGGGACCAUUGACAAUUAGAUUUCAACUUGAUUGCUGCUCAUAUCAAAGGAAUGAUUAAGGCACAAUUCACAUUGUCAGUGGUUGCUAUUCAAACAAGUAUUAUGGAGAUAUUCAAAUAUCAAAUAUCAUACAAGAAGACAUCUAAAGUGAAGCUUAAAGUACUUACAAACUUAUUUGGUGAUUUUUAUAAGUCAUAUGCAGAGCUGUCACAUUUUUUUCAUUGGCUUAGAGCAGGCAAAUUCAGGAUGUGUUGUAAUUUCAAAAACAUUUCCUAGUAUUAUGGAGAAUAUAGAGAUAUUUUAGUGAGUUUUUUUUUAACAUUUCAUCUAUCUAUUGAAGGUUUCAAGCAUUGUCGGCUCGUACUUAGUAUUGAAGGUACACGUUUGUAUGGGAAAUAUAAAAACACUUUAAUGAUUGCUAUGGUUUGUGGUGGAAAUAAUCAGUUAUUCUCAUUGGCUUUUGUCCUAACAGAGGGUGAGAAUAUUGAUAGUUGGGGAUGAUUUUUGGCAUGCAUUAGAACUAGAGUAACUCAUAGGAGGGGACUUUGUGUUAUAUCAUAUCGACAUUUAGGCAUUAUGGUUGAAAUGAACGAUGUUCAGCUUGGUUGGUCUGAGCCAUAUGCAUAUCAUAGGGUUUGUAUGUGUCAUCUUGCCAGCAAUUUUAUGACUCAAUUCAACGAUAAAAUAUUGAAAAAUCUGAUGUGCAAAGCAGUCUUAGCAACCAAGAUUGAAAAAUUCAAUAAACAUAUAAACACAAUUGGAAGGAUUAAUGCAACCACACAACAAUGGUUAGAAGCAAUCCCUUUUGAGAAAUGGGCUCUCUCUCAUGACGGAUGUUGAAGGUAGGACAUCAUGACUACAAACAUGUCAGAGGUGUUCAAUAGUGUGUUUAAAAGGGCUCGUAGCUUACCCUUAACUGCUUUGGUUCAAUUGAUAUUUUUUCGGCUAAAUAGUUACUUUGUUGUGAAAAGGGAACAAAGUGUUAAUUGACUUGCUUCGAAUGAGGAAUACACUCCAUAUGUCAAUGCUAAGAUUAAGGCAAACGUGGUUAAGGCGGGAUCUCAUGAGAUUGUUUUAUAUGAUCACAUCCAAGGAUGAUUCCAUGUGAAGACUAGUAGGGGUACUAAGAGUAGCUCAACUGGUGGUCAAACAUAUCGCUUCAACUUACAUGAGCAUGCAUGCAUGUAUGGUAAAACACUCAUAUAUGGAUUCCCAUGUAGCCAUAUUCUAGUAGCAUAUCAUUUUUGUUUAGUUGAUUUUAGACCACUUGUUGAACACUACUACAGUACACAAUUAUACUAUAAUACUUAGGCACCUUUGUUCCAUCCCAUUUUCAAUGUAUAUGAGUGACCUCCUUAUGAUGGUCCGAUUAUCGUGCCUUCUAAGUUGAUGAAACGUGCAUCAAGUGGAUGACCUAAAUCAAGUCAUUUACAUAAUGAAAUGGAUGUUAGAGAGGACAAGACUUCUAUUACAUGUAGGUAGUGUAAACAAAGUGGCCACAAUCGCCGCUCUUGUCAAAAUAGCAAUAGAGUUGAUUAUACCAUGUGAUGUAUGCAUGUAAUUUUCUUGGAUAUUGUGAUGUAAGCUACUAUGAUACUAUUUUUAUGCAAUUAUUGACUUUGGUUUGAUUAUAAAUAUUGAUGUUAUUUGUAUAAUCAGGUGAUUUGUAUUUGGGAUCAUUUUCAUAUUAUAAGGGAAACUCUAUCAAAAUUUUGAAAUUUUCUAUUAAAAAUGUUAACAAAAUGUUCCAUUGUAUUUGUAUCUUUAAUUUUAAUUUAGACUAGUAUGACUUGUUUAUUGGUCAUAAAUGAAUUGAUCUACUUAAAUUUAUUAAAUCGAUAUAUACUUAAUAUAGAGGAAACUCCAUAAAUUUUUAAAACUUUUCCAUUAUAAAUAUUUUUAUUUAAAAACAAUAAGUAUUAUUUAUUUAUCUUCACAAUUUUGUUACAGAUAUAGAGUAUAGAGGACAUAGUUUUGAUCCAGAUCCAUUAGAUACAUUUGUUUUGGUUCUACAGGAUAGACAUAAGUCUCAUUUAGUUGACUCUAGUCAGGUAUGUAUAUGAAAGCAUAUAAUAUAUUUUUAAAGAAUGAAAAAAAAAUUGAAGUUUAUUAUGUAAAUGAUUUAUUUGUAUUUUUAUAGCUUGUUUCAGUCUUAACUUAUCGACAACAUAUAUCUAGGUUUAUGUGAGAAUGGGAGAUGGAUCCUCGUCUUCAACCUUAUAUUAUUCGAUCUAGAUUGUAUGGUGUAUGUCGUAUUGGACACAUUACACUAGAUUGGGGACUAAUCACUAAUCUAGUUGAGAUAUGGCAUUCUGAGACACACACAUUUCACCUACCUAUUGGAGAUAUGACCAUUACUUUACAGGAUGUUGCUAUCAUAUUAGGACUUCGUAUUCAUGAGCAUCCCAUCACUGACACAUGUGACAUAGAUUGGUCAUUGCUAUGUUAUGAACUUUUAGGUGUGACUCUUCCUACAUAUGAGAUUAAAAGGUCAACGAUAUCAACACGAUGGCUAUGUCACCAAUUCUCUUAUCCAUUGAUUGAUUCAGAUAAUGCUACAUUAGAGCGGUAUGCAUGAGCUUUCAUAUUAGCACUACUAGGCUCAACACUAUUUAUAGACAAGAAGAGUACCCACAUCCAUAUGUGUUAUCCCCAUUGCUUAGAGACUUAACUCAGAUAUCUAUGCAUAGUUGGGGCAGUGCAAUAUUAGCACACCUAUAUAGGGUCAUUAAUGACAUAUGAGAUCAAUUUGACAAAGAAGCUACAAAAGGGUGAAGACAAAAAGAAGAAGAGCAUAACCCUCAAAGCUACAACCAAGGAAAAAGAAGAUGUUGAAGAAGAAAAGCCAAGUGAUGAAGAUGAUGAUUUAGCCCUCAUCACAAGAAAGCUUAACAAAUUCAUGAGAGGUGAAAGGUUUAGAGGAAGGAAAUUUACCUCUAGAAGAGAUCUUUCUAAAAAGGAAUCUUCAUCCCAUGGUGACAAGGAGAAAUGGGAAGAGAAAAGAGAUUUGAUAUGCUUUAAGUGCAAAAAACCGGGACACAUUAAAUAUGAUUGUCCUCUCUACAAGAGUGAAGCCAAGAUAAGAAUGAAGAAGGCAAUGAUGGCCACUUGGAGUGAAAGUGAAGAAUCCUCCGAAGAAGAAAAGAAGAAGGAAAUAGCAAACAUGUUCUUCAUGGCAAUAGAUGAUCUUGAUAAGGAAUCAAAGAAGGAUAAGUGAUUCUUGGAUAAUGGAUGCUCAAGACACAUGACCGGGGAUGAAUCCAAGUUUACUUUCUUUACAAAGAGAAAUGGAAGAUACGUUACCUUUGAAGACAAUUCAAAAGGAAGGAUCAUUGGCCAAGGCAACAUUGGUAAUGACACAUCUUCUCUUAUUGAAAGUGUUUUACUAGUGGAUGGUUUAAAACAUAAUAUUUUGAGCAUAAGUCAACUUUGUGACAAAGGUUUUAAAGUGAUUUUUGAAGCAUCUCAUUGCAUCAUCAAAGAUAUUCAAAAUGAUAAAACCAUCUUCAUGGGCCAUAGAUGUGAUAAUGUUUAUGUAAUAAAUAUUUCAAAAUAUGAUGGCCAUGAUAGAUGUUUUUCAAGCAUGCAUGAUCAAAGUUGGUUGUAGCAUAGGAGGUUGGGACAUGCUAACAUGGACCUCAUUUCCCAACUCAACAAAGAUAAACUUGUUAGAGGCCUUCUCAAAAUAAAUUUUCAAAAAGACAAAGUUUGUGAAGCUUGUCAAAUGGGAAAGCAAAUCAAAAACUCUUUUAAAAACAAAAAUUUCAUUUCAAAAACUAGGCCUCUUGAAUUGUUGCAUAUGGAUUUAUUUAGUCCCUCUAGAACACCAAGCCUUUGAGGAAAAUCUUAUGCUUUUGUUAUUGUGGAUGACUUCUCUAGAUACACUUGGGUCUUAUUUUUAAAUCAAAAGAAUGAAGCCUUUUAUGAGUUUUAAAAGUUUUGUAACAAGGUUCAAAAUGAAAAAGAUUUUACAAUUACUUGUAUAAGAAGUGAUCAUGGGAGAGAAUUUGAAAAUAUUGAUUUUGAAGACUAUUGCAAUGAGUAUGGUAUUAACCACAAUUUUUCGGCUCCUAGAACUCCUCAACAAAAUGGGGUAGUUGAAAGGAAAAAUAGAACUCUUCAAGAAAUGGCUAGAACCAUGCUAAAUGAAAACAAUUUACCAAAAUACUUCUAGGUCGAAGCGGUUAACACUUCUUGUUAUGUUUUAAAUAGAAUUUUAUUGAAGCCUAUUCUUAAGAAAACUCCCUAUGAGCUUUGGAAAAACAAGAAACCCAACAUUAGCUAUUUCAAAGUCUUUGGAUGCAAAUGCUUUAUAUUAAAUAUCAAAGAUAAUCUUGGAAAAUUUGAUGCAAAAUUGGAUGUUAAAAUUUUUCUUGGUUACUUAACUUCAAGUAAAGCCUUUAGAGUUUUUAACAAAAGAACCAUGGUUGUUAAGGAGUCAAUCCAUGUUAUUUUUUAUGAAUCUAACAAUUCUCUCCAAGAAAGAGAGAGCUUUGAUGAUGAUUUAGGUUUGGAGACUUCCAUGGGAAAAUUACAAAUUGAAGAUAGAAGGCAACAAGAAGAAAUUGUAGAGGAUCCCAAGAAAGAAGAAUCACCUUUGGCACUACCUCCUCCUCAACAAGUGCAAGGUGAAUCAAGCCAAGACCUCCCUAAAGAUUGGAAGUUUGUCAUCAACCACCCACAAGAUCAAAUUAUAGGUAAUCCAUCUAGUGGGGUAAGAACUAGAUCAUCUCUUAGAAAUAUUUGCAAUAAUCUUGCUUUUAUCUCUCAAAUUGAACCUAAAAAUAUAAAAGAUGCACUAGUUGAUGAAAAUUGGAUGAUUGCUAUACAAGAAGAGUUAAACCAAUUUGAAAGAAGUGAAGUAUGGGAAUUAGUGUCAAGACCUCAAAAUCAAAGUAUUAUUGGAACUAGAUGGGUCUUUAGAAAUAAAAUGGAUGAAAAUGACAUAAUUAUAAGGAAUAAAGCAAGAUUGGUAGCCCAAGGUUUUAAUCAAGAAGAAGGGAUAGAUUAUGAAGAAACAUUUGCUCCCGUAGCUAGAUUGGAAGCCAUUAGGAUGCUACUUGCCUUUGCAUGUUUUAAAGACUUUGUUUUAUAUCAAAUGGAUAUGAAAAGUGCUUUCUUAAAUGACUUUAUAAAUGAAGAGGUAUAUGUUGAACAACCACCCGGUUUUCAAAGUUUUAACUUUCCUAAUCAUGUUUUUAAACUUAAAAAACCACUUUAUGGUUUGAAACAAGCACCUAGAGCAUGGUAUGAAAGAUUGAGUAAAUUUCUUUUGAAAAAAGGUUUUAAAAUGGGAAAAAUUGACACAACUCUUUUCAUAAAAACCAAAGAAAAUGACAUGCUCUUAGUACAAAUAUAUGUUGACGAUAUCAUUUUUGAAGCUAUUAAUGUUUCUCUUUGUGAAUAAUUUUCUAAAUGCAUGCAUAGUGAGUUCAAAAUGAGCAUGAUGGGAGACCUUAACUUCUUCCUUAGACUUCAAAUCAAGCAACUAAAGGAAGGAACCUUCAUCAAUCAAGCAAAGUAUAUAAGAGAUCUUCUCAAAAGGUUCAAUAUGGAGGAAGCCAAAACAAUGAAGACUCCAAUGAGUUCAUCCAUCAAGCUUGACAUGGAUGAGAAAGGUAAGUCCGUCAACUCAACUAUGUAUAGAGGCAUGAUAGGUUUUUUGUUAGAUUUGACCACUAGUAGACCCGACAUCAUAUAUAAUGUAUGUUUGUGUGUUAGAUUUCAAUCUUGUCCUAAAGAAUCUCAUUUAAGUGUUGUAAAACGAAUUCUUAGAUAUUUAAAAGGGACAAUAGACAUAGGUCUAUGGUAUCCUAAGGGUGAUAACUUUGAAUUAAUUGGAUACUCGGAUACCAACUUUGCCGGUUGUAAAGUUGAGAGGAAAAGAACUAGUGACACUUGUCAUUUCCUAGGACACUCACUUGUUUCAUGGCAUAGUAAGAAGCAAAAUUCGGUAGCUUUGUUUACGGCGGAAGCCGAAUACAUAGCAGUUGGUUUAUGUUGUGCACAAAUCCUUUGGAUGAAACAAACACUUAGUGAUUUCAAUUUGAUUUUUAAGCAUGUUCCUAUUAAAUGUGAUAACACUAGUGCCAUAAACAUUUCAAAAAAUCCGAUGCAACACUCUAGGACUAAGCAAUAGAGAUUAGACUCCAUUUUCUUAGAGAUCGUGCACAAAAGGGUGACAUUACACUUGAAUUUGUAAGCAUAAAAGAUCAACUUGCCAAUAUUUUUACAAAACCCCUAAGUGAAGAGCAAUUUGUUGAUAUUAGAAGACAACUAGAGGUGAUUUCUUUAUAAUCAAAUGAUUGCUUGAUGAAUUCUUGAUUGAAUAUACCUUAUGAUUGCGUGAAUUUCAUAUCAUAAGCAUUAUAUAGAAAUAAUCUUAGGAAAGAGGUCAAAUUUUGACCAAAAAUCAAAAUUCUCGUGGCAUUGGAUAUAAAAAAUUGGGGAUUUCAAUUGAAAAGGGCAGAGGGAGGAUCAUGAGACAAGAAAAUGCAAAAAAUUGGACCGUUGACCGUUGACCAUUGACCAAGCGGUCGACCGGUUCCUCAACCGGUCGACCGAUUCGUCGAGGCUGGGAAUCUAAAGAGGCCCCCACGCGUUAUUUCUCUCACUGUUCUCUUUCACUCCUUGAAAACCCUUCACAUACCUGCUUCCAGAUAUCAUUUUGGGUUGGAUUUUGGACUGAUUGAAGGCUUUGGAGUUGAUUUUGGGACGUUUUGAGGCUAGGGUUUUGAUUUGAAACCCAGGGUUUCAGUUUUUGGGGGUGAUUUCUCUCUGACCACACUCCUCAAGCUUGGAUUCAGCCUCAUCUCCAUGCACCUAGGGCUUCGGGUUGGUGUUUGCUUUCUCUUAUUUGAUUUCAUUCUCCCUUUGGACUUCUCUUUCUCUCUAUCCCGUUCAUUGGAUGGCUCCAAGGCAAGAGACGGGGACCUCCAGGGCUCAGGGAAAGUGCCCUGUUGAGCCAUCUCAGCCUGAGCAGACGGAGGCUUGCCAAAAGGCGAGGUAUGACACGACCCUUUUCAGUUCCGUCGAAGACUAUCAGCGAUACAAACAAAAAUUCACCCAGAGGAAAGUCGUUUUAGGGAGAAGUAUCAAUUUCUCCCAACUUCAGCACUUCGGGUUUGAGAGACUUUUUUUUUCGGAUGGGAUGGUUGCCAGUUGUGACGAUUUUCGAGCCGAUCUUCCUGACUCUGGUGCGGGCUUUUUAUUCCCGGACGACCUAUGGGCUUGGAGGACCAGUCUUGUCCAUAGUUAGAGGAGUUGAGAUCAGAUUGAGCCCGGAGAGUAUCUGUUGCAUUCUCGACAUUCCUGCAGUUGGACUUUGAGUGUAUGAGGCCAAGGCGUGGCCCACUGUGUCGGGAUUCGAGCCUAGAGAGGUUGUUCAGAGGUUGUGUGGACUCACAGAUGCCUAGGGGAUGGGCAAACCAUCAGCACACAGCUUGACCGUGCCCAGCCGAGUCCUUCAUCACAUGAUUUGCUCCAUCUUAUUGCCACGAGGAGGACAUCGAGACGAGGUCUCCUACCUUGAGGCAUUCAUUGUGGACUCGAUUCUGACUGGACGAUGGAUUCACGUGGGAUAUCUGAUGAUGAUGCAUAUGAUAUCCUGCAUUGAGAGCAUGACAGGAGUACUCCCCUACGGCCGUUUCCUUAGCCGAGUAUUCAAGGAUGCUGGGGUCAACUUGAACAGAGAGACGGACUUCGAGGCCCCCACUAGCUAUGACACGUACGAUGAGCAGUCCUUGAGGCGAUUGAAGUUCGAGAAGGCACCUGAUGACUCUUGGAUUAGGAGAGCUGAGCAACAGGCCCGGGGUCAAGGACAGAUGCAUCCCGGAGCAGAGGAUGAGGCCAAGAUCAGAGAGAUGGAGGAUGGAUUAGACCCUUAGAGGGAUUUUGAGUAGAGAGGGCCCGAGCUUGACAUUUGACCUCCACCUCAGUCAGAGGGUAUUCAUGUUGAGGCUACUUUCUCAAAGCCUAUGAUGACUGCGUCGUCUUACACAACAGGACCAUCAUUUCAGCCAUUAUUUACUGAGCUUCCUCACACAGAGCUACCAUCUCAAGCACCUCACGCUCCUGAUCAUGCGCCUUGGAUGUAUGUCUCAGUUCAGAUCAGUCCCUUGGGACUCGUAUGGAGGAGCUUACUUUAGUUCAUGACACUCGUUUCUAUUUUAUGGAAGAGUACAUGGAUCAGUAUCAGACUAGUGUCACUUCUCGAUUUGAGCACUUCCAGUAGAGAUUUGAGCGCAUAAAGGAGCGUAUGGAUCAGCAGCAGGCUACAUUCGAGCAUCUCCAAUAAAGUAUUAAUCGCAUUGAGAGUCGCCAGGCGAGUCAACAUGAGGAGAUGAUGGCUUACCUCCGCUCUGUGUUUCCUCCUCCACCCCCUCAGCCUUAAGAUUAUCUAGAGUUCCCCCUCAGUUUUUUUUUUAUUUUUUAUGUUGCCAAUAGGGGAGAAAUAUAUAGGAUCUAGGAAACCCUCAUGCAUGUCAUUGUCAUCAUUGUCAUAUCUAUCUUGUUUAGCAUAUGUUUUCGUGUACAUGUGAGGUUACCAUAUAUAUAUGAUAUGAUAUUUUCAUGAUUCAUUGCUUCCUAUUCAAAAUUUCGUGUUUUACAUUGUUUCCUAUUAAAAAUUGUUUAAUUGAUCCAUGAUUGGUUUGAGGAGGAGAUUUUUUUCUCUCCUAGAUAACCAAGGUUUGUCAUCAUAAAAAAAGGGGAGAUUGUUAGCCCAAAGGUUCUCCUAAUCAGGUUUUGAUGAUAACAAACCAUGGUUAAGUGACUAAUUUGUUUAAUGGUUAAGAAUCUCAGGCAUAAACUCAAAAAUUCAUCAAAUGACCAAAUGGAUAUAAGAUUGAGACGCUUGGAAGACUUGUGAUCAUAGGAAACUAAUGAAAGAUGAAUGCAUGAGUGCACUUAGGUGUUUCACAUGUUUCAUGCAACAUAGAAAACUCAGUUUAUUAUUUAAAACUUCGAUUUCAUUAAAACCCGAGUUUUUAACUAAUGUACCUUAGGCAAAAUGUUUUAUAAUUGCUUAAUAAUUCACCUAAAAACCUUACCUAAGUGUUAGAAAAGAAAGGAAUUAAAAAAUAGGUUUUCAGGGCCAAAAAGGCUCAACCGGUCGAGGUUAUGGCCAACCGGCUCAACCGGUCGAGGUUAUGGCCAACCGGUUGAGGAAUCGGUCGACCAGUUGUACUCGUUCGGUCGAGAGAUGUCAAAACUUUCUCCCUCUCCCAAUGGUCUUCUCUUCCCGGUUGAGGUUCGGUCGAGACAACGGUAACCUGUCAAACAUUAAAUGCUCCAACGGCUAGUGAACUGGUCGACCCCUAGCUCGAUUAGACGAGGUUACCUUUUGCUGUUUUUGACUCCCGAGCUUAGACACCUAUAAAUUGAGAGCUCCACUUCAUUUAUUAACAAAAUAACACUUUCAUUCAAUAAUUUACCUACCCCUUCUUGAUCAAAAAACUCUCAUUUCUUUCAUAGUGUAUUAAAUCACGACUUGCAUAUUCUUUAGUGCACUCUUGUGUGUCAACCUAGCUUUGUCUUGUAUUUAAGCUAUUCUUAAGCUAGGUUGAGGAAUUCUUUCUUGUAAAAAUCGGAGUGUUAAAGCCUUCAACAGGUUCGAAUCUUGAAGAGAUUGUGUAAGAGCCCAUUGGAACCGAAAUCCAAGUGUAAGAAGAUUGAAAGCUUGGUUGAAGCGUCAAGUUAGUGGAACCCUCACUCAGUUAGGAGAUUGAGGAGAGUGGACGUAGGCAAGGAAGUGUCGAACAACUAUAAAACCCGAGUUUGAAUUUUCUAACUCUAUUUCUUUAUUUUGCUUAUAUUGUGUUCGAAUUUAUUGUGAUUGAAAAGAUUUUAAAAACCCAAUUCACCCCUCUCAGUGUUUUUCUUAUUUAAGCAUAACUUUUGUUUUCUCAAUUUUCAUCUAUUUAUCAAACAAUUAAACUAAAUAGUGAAUUGAUUGGAAAAACAAAGGUAUUUUCUUUCUAGAAUUCUAUAUUUUAAGAAGUGGAAGAACAAAUUCUAUUAGGUUACAUGGUAUUUUAAGUUUAAAAUUUCAAACCUUUCCAUUUCAUUUUGAAAGGAAAAAAAUGGAAAAAAAAAAUAUUUUUGUUGUAUUUAAGUCAUUUUCCAAUCAUAUAAUAUGACUUCACUUAAAUCAACGAAGAAAUAGUUUUUUUUUUUUUUUUUAAGAUAAUUGCACAUUUUUUUUUCUUGUAAAAUAGAAAAGAGAUCCCUAAUUUGUACAAAGUUUUAAUUGAAAACUUGUUGAACAUCGUUGUAUACUUAUUUAAUUAAUUUUUUUCCUCAUAAAAUAGAAGAUAAAAUCAAGGAUGAUAAUGUGACAAAUUCAAGACGGGUGUAGGGUUGCACCCAUCCCAACUCUGCCUUAUUUAUUGAAAAUAAUUUUCAUCCCUAUCUCAUUAAAAAAAUUAAACAGGUGGGGUGAGGAUGCAAAUUUCCCAUACCCGUCCCACCUUGUUUCAUUUAACUUUUUCUGAAGUUUUUUUUUAAUUAUUUAAAAAAAAUUAAUUACAUUAAAAUCAAUAUUUUAUAAAUAAUUAAAAUAUUUUAAUUUUUUUAUAACUUAUUGUUUUAUUAUUAUUAUUGAUUUUAUAACUUAUAUUAAAAAUAGGUAAAUUAAAAUUAAUUUUAUCUAUAAUUAGGGGUAAGACAAGACAAUACCUGAACCCACUCAAAACCUGUCUUAAGUUUUAAAAAUGAUCACAAAUUUAAGAGUAUGAAAAGUACCCGAAAAAACUUGACUUAUUGUCAUCCAUAAGAGUGAUCCUCUAUUUAUAGAAAAUUUUAACUUAAAAGCUUGUUAAAGCUUAUGAUAUGGUUAUUUUCUUCUCUUUCUCAUAAAAGGAUCCUCUAUUUUUUAGAAUUUUUUUUAACAAAUAGAUAAUUCUCUCUAACACUUAGAUUAUGUUUGGCUAAAAAAAAAAAUACUAAGAAUGCAAAUAAAAGGUAAGGAAAAAAAUACAAAAAAGAUGGAGCUAAAUAUUUUAAUGUGUAAUUUAAUUUUCUCUCCAUUAAUUAUUCCAUCAAUAAUCAAAUAAGAGAAUUUUUUUUUAAAAAAAAAUCUUAUUUAUUUAUUUAUUUAUUUAUUUUGGUUAUGUUUUUCUUAUUUAUUUAUUCCUUUCUUUCUUUUGGUUAUGUUGGGUUUAUAAAAGAUUUAAGAAAUAAAAUAAAAAGAAAACGUAAAAGAAAUGAAAAAAUUAAAAGAAAAUAAAAGAUAGAUUUAUUAGAGACAUGAAGAUUCACAAGAAUAUUAUGAGGGCUUUGGUUAGGUUGACAAGUCGGGAUCGAAAGCUCCUGUACACCCACCAACUCCAUAACGUUAGAAGUGCUUAAAGGCUAUGUAGUGAGGCCGUGGGUAGACAGAAAUCGAAUCAAUCAACAACUUUCUUUUUUGGCCAAGUGUUUUUUUCGAGAUCCAUCCAAAUUUAUGUAAGAUGGAUCCAUAUCAUUUUUCAACCAUGUGGACCACACCGGCAACUGUUUGUUUCCCAAGAAAAUGAUGUUUUUUUACCACUUGGUGAUAUAACUUCUUAUGCCAUUUUAAUAUGUUGUAUUAAAAUAGAGAUAAACAAAUAAUUAAUACACUCCAUGAACCUUCUGUCUGAAAAUUUAUUUGAUCUAAAAUGAAAAUCCAAUUUAUUAAUGCUUUGGGUCAAAAUCAUGGAGCGUGGAGUCAAUGAAAUCCUUGACAUCAUCAUCCAUGGCUUCAGCGUGUGAGGGAUCAGAGCACUCUAUGCCAUGGUGGCCGCCAUCUUUGAAUUUCGCCACCACGUGCACCCCACGCGCCUCCAUCAUCUCCACAACCCUCCUCUGUCUGUCAACCAGUGGAUCUCCACCGUACCCUAUCACCAGACACUUCUGUAGCCGUCCGAUCUUCUCCUGGUAGGACCCUCCCGCCAGUGGAUUACUGUACUCAUGAUCACGAUCAGCGCCGUCGGGCAAUGCAAGUGCCCAUAACAGAUCGUUGGCCGGCAACGGCAAGUUCCGACCCUCCGCCAGUCUCAGUUCCGAUUCGGUCCUCUCCACCCCACCGAAGUAGGGCUGAUUCAGUACCAGCCCUUGGAUCUUCAUCGCCCCAAGAUCAGCAUCAAGUGCACGUAGACCUGCGUGGAACACCAUGUUUGCUCCUGCACUGCCCCCCAUCAAAAAGCACUUGGAAAAAUCAGCGUACUCUCUCAACCACGGCUCACCGCCGUCGAUCUCCGCAGCCGCCUGGCUCCGGACCCACAUGAUGGCUUCGGCGGCGUCUUCGUAGGCAGCCGGGAGACGGUGCUCCGGCGCGAGACGGUACUCGAGGGACAGGACCAGAGCUGGAAGCUUAGCUGCCAUGGAGUUGCAAGUUUCAUGGAAAGGCGGAGUAGAGACGCUGGCGACAACGAACCCACCUCCAUGAAAGUACAAGAUGACUGGAAGCUUGGUGUUUGGAGGAAGAAGACGAGGCCGGAAGAGGCGGAGAAAGGUGUUGUUGGCGGGGUUGAGAGGCACAUCUUUGGAAAAAGCCACGGCGGAGUCGGAGGCGGCGGUUUCAUCAGUAGCAGCUAGGGAGAGAUGUGAGCUACGGCGAGUGAAAGAGCCAUCUGGGUUAGGGACGAGGCCGAUGGAGUUAUAAGCGUCCAUGGAGGAUGGUGGUGGCGCAGAGUCUGCUAUGGCUAUUUGAGUGGUGAGAGUUUGUUUUGAAGAAGAUAUACAAAGGAGUCUGGCUGGGUAGCCGUAUAGGAUAUCAAUGGAGCUAUGGUUGGUGUAUAAUUUAUAUAAGGUGAGGGGAUUUUUGGUAAGAGUACAGUAAUUUUAUAAAAUAAUUCUUAAAUUAUCCUAAAAAAAAUAAUUUCAUAUAUACGAUAGUUUUUAUAAGUGAUAUUUCUUUUCUUUAUCCAGUUGGAAACAGUAUUUUAAAAAGACGAUUUCCCAAAAAAAAAAAAAAAAAAGCAAUUAAAUAGAAAUAGUCUAUUUUAAAAAAUAAUAAUAAUUGAAAAUCGUAUCUUGAUGCAGCUAUUUCCCUGCUUUUUCGGUACCAAACUUACUCUUCGGUCUAAAAUCAUCUCAUUGUUUAACAUCAUAACAUCAGGACUUUUGUUCAAAGCUAAUCACACUCUAAAGACUCACUCCUUUCUUUCCAUUGUCUACACUUCAUACUUCUGUACUCUCUGUUUAGCUCAUUUCCUUCCAUCCACCCUCAAUCUUCUCCACACCAAUCUCAUCUUCUCAACCUCUAUAGUUUAUAUAUUCCAUUUUUCCACAUUUCUUGAUUUUCUCAAUCAAUAUAGUCUCAAAAAAAAAAAAAAAAUUCCACCAAUUUGCUAAUUUUUUUUGUGGAAUUUGUAAGACGAUUUCCAAUUAUAUAUAUUUUUUUAAAAUAGACAAUUUUCACUAAAUUUCUUUUUUUAGGAAAUCAUCUCUUUAAGAGACGAUUUCUAAUUUGCUUAAUUUUCUUUUUUAAAUCAUCUUUUCAACAAACAAUUUUUGAAUGGUAUAUAUACAUUUUGUAAAGAUGAUUUUCAACUUGAUAAAAAAGAUAAAUAUCAUUCCUUUUUAUUUGAUAAAAAUUAUCGUAGAUUUAAAAUUAUUUUUUUUAUUAUGGUAAUUUAAAAUUUAUUUUUUAAAAAUUCGAUAAUCUUAUAAAAAAUACUAAGUAGAUGAGUGAGCAAAUUCUAGUUUUGGGAUCGAUGGAUCGAUCGAGAGCAGAGUUUUUAUCAGAAUUCUUUAGGUUGAAUACUUGACCAGUUCUGGCGGCUAUUCGAUUGAAAUCAAUAAUCUUGCUGUGCAAGUAAUGAUUUUGUUGCAUGUUAUCAAAUCUUAAUUGUACUCUUUUGAAUAGUACAAAAAGAAUCUUCCAUAUGGGCGGCUUCUGACAGUCAACAAAUAUAGUUUCUAAUGGCUUGCAAAACUUAAGGGUAUGUUUGGGUCACGGAAAAUAAUAAGGAAAGAAAAAAAAUACAAAAAAAAAAUGAUUUUUUCAUAUUUGAUUGUCCUAUGAAAAAUAUCAAAGAAAAUAAAAUAUAAUUAAAACUAAUUAAAAACUUAUAUAUUUUUAAAUUAUUUAAUCUUUAUAUUGAUGAGUUAAAAUAAAUAAAAUGAGUUUGAAGUAACAAAAAGAAAUAAUUUAUCGAUUUUUAAUCUAUUUUUUAUUUUUCUUCAUUUUUUUCUUUCCUUCUACUUUUCUUUUGUAUUUUCUUUCCCUUGCAUUUUCCCUCAAAUUUUCUGGGAACCAAACAUAGCCUAAGGAAAAUUCUAGGGUACCUCAUUCGGUACCGUACCGAAAAGUUUUUAAGCCAUUGGAUGUCCAAGAUUACAUCUUGGCCAUCCAUUUUAAAUUUGAAAAAAAAUAAAAAAAAAAUCCACUUAACCGAUUAAGGGAAGAAGGAAGAACUGGUUGUGGCCUUCCACUCUCUUCUCCUUUAAUUUCAUCUUCCCCCAUUAUCAACAAUUAUGGGUUUAAAUAAAAUAAAUAUGAGAUAAAUAUUGAUACAAAAAUAGAAUUGAAAAAAAAAAUUGAAAUUGAUAUAAAAUUUGAAAACAUAUUUAUUAACAAAAAAAAUUCAUCAUAUAUUAUAGAUACAUUAUUUCAUUUUUAACAAAUUAUUAAUCAUUUUAAAUUCGACAUGAAAAUGAACAUAGUAAUAUUUCAAUAUAAAAUGAGUAUUUAUAUUAAAAUUCAACAUUUUGAUGAUUAUAUGUAAAGAUUAGGUAAUUAGAUUGCCCUAAUAUUUUUCACUCUCCAAAUUUUACAUUUUUGAAUUUAAGGUUUUUAAAUUAAAAUUACAAUAAAAUAAAUUAGUAAUAAUCUUUUGAGUUACUAAUGAUAGUAUUUUCGAAAAUAAAUUUGUAAUUUCAAUUUUUUUAAAAAAAAAAUUGACAUGAAAAAAUUGAUAAAGGUACCAAACAUGUAUUUAUCACAUUUUUUCGUACCAUUCUUAUAUUUUUUGUAUCCUAAAUUAUUUUUAUUUUUUAAAUUUCAGAUUUACUUUUUAACUUGAAAUGACAAUAAAAUAGUUUAAUAAUAUUUUUUUGAGUUAUUAUUGUUGAGAUAUUAGGAAUGCUUUCCUUGUAUCAUUAUUUCCUUAUAUCAUUUAGUGUUGAGAUAUUAGGAAUGUUUACAUAUUAGGAAAGUUAAGAUAUUAUGAAUAUUGAGAUAUUAUGAAUAUUGAGAUAUUAGGAAAGUUGAGAUAUUAGGAUAUUAGUUGUUAUUUCCUUAUAUUAUUCUUUCCUUGUAUCAUCCUUUCCCAUUCUUAGAAUGGUGAUUACCCUCUAUAUAUACUCUGUAUAUGAAUGAAAGAAAGUAUGAAUGAAAAACUACCAUUCAUCAAUUUGAAGAUGGUAUCAGAGUCAGGGAACUGAAAUCCUGGAUAUUUUGUUGUAAGGCCAACAAUCGCCCCUCCUUUGAGAAAGAAGAAAAAAAAAGAGUGAAAAAAGUACUAUUGUUUUUCAAUCUGAAGGUACUUUCAAUCUAGAAAUUAUUUUGACUGAAUCAAACUAUGACGUUUGGUCACAACUCGUGGAGAUGCAUAUUGCCGAACGGGAAAAACUUUCCUACAUCCAAGGUAAGACAAAUCUACCAAAAGAGUCAGAAGAUGGAUAUGAAAAAUGGUAUGCUGAGAAUCAAAAGGUGAAGAGAUGGUUGUUAAUGUCCAUGAGUCCAGAAAUUAUGAAGCGUUACUUACACUUACCCACCACUCAAGAAAUUUGGAGUGCAUUAUCAAAGGCCUUCUAUGAUGGAAGUGAUGAAUUACAAGUUUUCACUUUGAAUCAAAAAGCCUUCACUACCAAACAAAACGGCAGGUCUCUUUCUGAAUAUUAUGGAGAGUUAACUGAACUUUUUUGCGAAUUGGAUCAUCGGGAUAAGGUAGUUAUGAAAGACCCUGAAGACAUUGCAACAUACCGGAAAUCCAUUGAACGACAACGGGUGCACAUCUUUCUUGCUGGAUUGGGUGGUGACUUUGAGCAAGUUCGAGGAGAGAUUCUACGCAAAGAUCCUCUUCCCGAUUUGGAAGAAUGCUAUGCACUGAUUCGACGAGAGGCAAUACGUCACGCUAGUAUGAAAGCAGAAUCUGACAACCCUGACACCUCAGCUAUGGUAGUUCGACAACAAUCAACCCGAAAUUGGCAGGACCAAUCCAAGACCAACCAUCCUAAGACAAACCCUAAUAUUGAUAAGUCAACCUUCAAAUGCACUCACUGCAAUAAGACUAGUCAUACCAAGAGUCGUUGCUUUGAAAUUGUGGGAUAUCUAGACUGGUGGGAUCACAAUCGUGAUCAACGAAAGAAGGAUUCCAAGAAAACCUCGACUGCAGCUAUUGCCAAAAUAAAAACAGAGGCUAAUGUUGAUGAGAAAGCCUUUGCAUUGGUAGCCACUACAGAUCAUGGUGGUAAGUUUUUAAAUACUUCUACACCUGUUAUUAAUAAUGAAUGGAUAAUUGAUUCUGGUGCUACAGAUCAUAUGACUUUAGAUUCUAGACAGGUCUCACCCCUUAAACCUUCCUCACAAAAAUUUGUUUCCACAGCCAAUGGUAACACAACCCCAGUCAUUGGGGAAGGAUCCUUAACUCUUACUGAUACUUUGAAUUUGGAUUCUAUUUUAGUUGCUCCAUCCUUAAAUUACAAUCUUUUGUCAGUUUCUCAAAUCACUGCAGUUUUAUCUGAUAUUGUCAUUUUUUGGCCUGAAUUUUUUGUUUUUAAGGACAUCCAAACAAGACAGACGAUUAGUUUUGGUAUUAAGCGAGGAAAACUCUAUUAUUUGGACUUGUAGUCAAAGGAUUCAAAUAAGUUGCAACAAGCCUUGAUGGCAGAUGGAUCUGAGGGGGAGAAGAAAAAGUCUGAAAUUUGGUUGUGGCAUCGACGUCUGGGAUAUGCUUCCUUUGGUUAUUUAAAAAAAUUAUUUCCUAGUUUGUUUGCAAAGAGUGAUAUUUUUGGUUUCCGUUGUGAUAUUUGUGAAUUGGCUAAAAGCCAUCGUGCUUCCUUUCCAUUAAUUUUGAAUAAAAGUCCGUCUCCUUUUAUGGUUAUACAUUCUGAUGUUUGGGGCCCAUCCAAAGUCCCAACAUUGAGCGGUUCGCGUUGGUUUGUUACUUUUAUUGAUGAUUGUACCAGAAUGACAUGGUUAUGCUUGAUGAAAACCAAAGAUGAAGUGAACUUGUUGUUUCAAAAUUUUCAUAAAAUGAUUGAAACUCAAUACAAUGCAAAGGUUCAGGUUCUGCGUAGUGAUAAUGGUGGAGAAUGUCAAAGUUCUGAUCUUCAAAAGUAUUUGGAAGGACAUGACAUCAUUCAUCAAACUACUUGUUCCAAUACACCCCAGCAAAAUGGAGUCGUUGAACGAAAAAAUCGGCACUUGUUAGAGGUUGUUCGUGCUUCCUUGAUAGCAGCAAAAACACUGAUAUCUUAUUGGGGAGAAGCAAUCACAUCUGCCGUAUACUUGAUCAAUCGGGUAUCUUCUAGCUCAAUUAACUUUCAAACACCUCUCCAAGCUCUUAUUAAUGUCGUAGUUGCCCCAACCGUCCCAAAUCUACCUCCUCAUGUUUUUGGUUGCGUGGCAUUUGUGCAUCUACACAAGCACCAACGCACUAAGUUAACUUCUCAUGCAUUGCAAUGUGUGUUUGUUGGAUAUGCAUUGCACAAAAAGGGAUAUCGAUGUUACCAUCCUCCAACUCGACAAAUGUAUAUUACAAUGGAUGUGGUGUUUCAUGAAGAUUCGAUGUAUUUUUCAUCUGAGUCUGAACUUCAGGGGGAAUACCAUAAGGAAAUUCAGACUCUUGAUUAUGAUUAUCAUAUCUCUAAGGAAGAUGAAUCUGGACAAUCUGAACUAGUGAACCAGGAAGUGGGUGAGUUGGAUAUGAGUGGUUAACAAUUUGGGUCCGAAGAUGUCUUCACUGAAAUACCAAACCAAUCGUCGUCUGUUGAGGGUGUUCUUAAUUAGGAACCCGAUCCAUUCAUGAAACGGUUACCACAUCGUCAUAAUAGAGGUAUUCCUAAACCCACAUAUGAACCUGAUUUGUCUACCAAAGUCAAAUAUCCCAUGAGCAACUAUGUGUCUAACCAUCGUUUGUCUGAAUCAAAUAAGUCAUUUGUAAAUCAAUUAUCUACUGUAGUUAUUCCUAACAGUGUGCAGGAAGCCUUAGUUGAUCCAAGGUGGAAAGCAAGAUUGGUUAGCUGAUAUCCUCACCAAAGUUGUCUCAAGUCAAGUAUUCUCAAAAUUUUUUAGACAAGUUGGGCAUGUGUGACAUCUAUGCACCAACUUGAGGGGGAGUGUUGAGAUAUUAGGAAUGCUUUCCUUAUAUCAUUAUUUCCUUAUAUCAUUUAGUGUUGAUAUAUUAGGAAUGUUUAGAUAUUAGGAAAGUUAAGAUAUUAUGAAUAUUGAGAUAUUAGGAAUAUUGAGAUAGGAAUGUUUAGAUAUUAGGAAAGUUAAGAUAUUAUGAAUAUUGAGAUUUUAGGAAUAUUGAGAUAUUAGGAAAGUUGAGAUAUUAGGAUAUUAGUUGUUAUUUCCUUAUAUUAUUCUUUCCUUGUAUCAUCAUUUCCCAUUCUUAGAAUGGUGAUUACCCUCUAUAUAUACUCUGUAUAUGAACGAAAGAAAGUAUGAAUGAAAAACUACCAUUCAUCAAUUUGAAGAAUUAUUGAUAGAAUUGUUAAAAAAUAAGAAUGAAAAAAAAAUUUAAAUAUGGAAAUGAUGUAAAUUAUCUUUAAAAAAUUAGAAAAUUAAAACAGUAAAAAAAUUGGGAAGAAUACAAAGAAUGCAAGGAAAAGUAUGAAGAAUAUAAGAAAUCCUGACAUUUUUCGUAUCAUUCCUCAUGAUAAUAUUGUUUAUUGAUAGUAAUUAACCUUAGUGAUACUAAUUAAGCUUAGAAAUGAUGAAAAUUGUUUUAAAAAAAAAAUUAAAAUACUAAGUAAUUGUAAAGGGUAUGUGAGCAAAAUUUAAAAACUUUUUGAAUUUUUCAAUUUUUUGCCACUUAGAAAUACAAAUAAUAUUGUAUAUUGAUACUACUCAAGCUUAGAAAUGAUGAAAAUUAUUCUCAAAUUGUAGAAGGUACGAAGAAUUCCCUCACAUUCUUUAUACCUUUCGUCACAUUUUCUUUACUCUAAAAAAUUUUACAAUUUUUUUUUUAAAUUUUUCCACAUGGACGAAAUUUUACAAUUUUUCGAAUUUCCACUUAAAAAUACAAUAAUAUUGUUUAUUGAUACUAAUUAAACUUAGAAAUGAUGGAAAUUAUCCUUAAAAAAAUAAAUAUUAAAAUAUUAAAAUUUGGAGAGUACAAAGAAUGUGAGGAAGGGUACAAAGAAUGUGAGGAAUCUUCAUAUUCCUCAUACACUACUUCUUCACAUUAUUUGUACCUUUAGAAUUUUACGAUUUUUUGGAUUUUUUUUUAAAAAAAUCUACUUGAAAAUACAAUAAUAUUGUUUAUUUAUAUUAAUUAAGUUUAGAAAUUAUGGAAAUUAUUCUAUAAAAAAAUUAAAAUGUUAAAACACUAAGUAAUUAUAAAAUGUACAAAAAAUGUAAGGUUACGAAGAAUAUGAGUAAGGGUAUAAAGAAUGUGAAGAAGGACAUGAAGAAUAUGAGAAAUUCUUAUAUUCUUCGUACCCUUCCUUGCAUUCUUCGUACCUUGAAAAUUUGACAAAUUUUCAUAUUUUUUUAAUUUUGUUUUUACUUUGAAAUAUAAUAAUAUUGUUUAUUGAUACUAAUUAAGCUUAGAAAUGAUGGAAAUUAUACUUAAAAAAAUAAAAAAUUAAAAUGUUAAAAAAUUGGAGAGAGUAUAAAGAAUGUGAGGAAGGGUACGAAAAAUGGAAAUUCCUCACAUUCUUCAUACCCUUUAAAUUUUACAAUUUUUUUGAAUUUUUCAAAUUGUUUUUCAACUUGAUGGAAUUUUUCAUUAUUUUGUAGUAAAAGCAGUAAAAAUUAUUUUUUAUUGUCAAAUUGAAAUUUUAUAAUAAAUUCUUUUGAUAGAAUAAGUGCAAAUAAUUUUCUUGAAAAUAAAAAUUGAAUACAAAUAAAAUUGAAUAACUCAUUUGUUGGAAAUAAAUUGACUCUUUUGUAAAUAAAUAAAUUGAAAUCAUUAAUUUGAAAUUGUUUUUAAUAAACUCUUUUGAAAUUUCUUGAAAAAAUAAUUUUUGAAAUAUUUUUUAAUCAGAUCAAUAAAUUAAUUACAUAAUUCUCAUAUCAUUUAUCUUGUAUAUUCUUAUAAUUUGAUUUUAUCAUCAUUUUUGUAUAUAUUGAUUUGUGUCUUUAAUCUUGGUACCAUUGAUUAAUUAAUUAAUUGUUACAGUUCCCUCAAUUCAUUUAGUAAAGAUUGUAGAUAUACAAACUUUAAGGGAUACGACGGUUCAUCGUUGUAUUUUCCUGAUAAGUAAUCUGACCUCGAUAAGUAAAUUCAAAAUCGGUUUUUGUAAAUGUCUUUUCCAAAUAGAGUCACACAUGGUUUUUUUUUUUUUCUUAUUUUGUUUUCCCUUGAAAAAAAAAGACCAAAAUAAAUUACUACUCUAAGUCUUUUCUAAAAUUCAAAUUUUUACCAAUAAAAAGCAAGUCUCGUCGUUUGAGUGAGAACACACAUAAAAAAUGUGAAUCCAUAAUAUGAAUAUUGAAAUUUUAUAAUUUUAAGAAUCUUUUUCACUUAGAAAUUCAAUAAUAUUGUUUAUUAUACUAAUUAAGCUUUGAAAUGAUGAAGAUUAUCCUUAAAAAAAAAAAAAACAUUAAAAUAUUAAAAAAAUCUUUUUCCAAUUUUAAGAUUUUUUUUUCUUAAAAAUAUAACAAUAUUGGUUAUCCAUACUAAUUACCCAAAUGAUGAAAAAUAUCCUUCAAAAAUUUUUAAAAAUUGAUACACUAAAAAAUUGGAGGAGGCUCAAAUUAUGCUUAGAAUUAAUUGAAAUCAUGCAAUUUCUUUUUUAGCUUCAAUUAUCCAUUGUAUUGUUUUUCCUAGUUUCAAUAUUUCAUCCAAUCUUGUCCCAAAAAAAAAAAAAAAAAAAUCAAAUUUACAAUAAAAAUUUAAUAAUAUAAUUUUCAAUUACUAAUUAACAAUAAAUACUUAUUUUAAUUUAUUUUAAAAAAUUAUGACUCCAAAUAGUUAUGAUAUUCUUUAAAAAGGCUAAUUACACUCACAUUUUUCCUACCUUCUAAUUUUUAAAAUUUUAAAAUUUUGUUUGUUACUUCUAAGAGUCAUCCUUAGAAAUGAUGGAAGUUAGGCACAAAAAAAAUUGAAAUUAAAAACAUAGAAAAAUUUCCUAGCAUUUUUGUACUAUUCCCGCAUUUUGGUACUCUCCAAAAUUCUCAAAUUUUUUAUUUAAAGAUUUUUUUUCCACUUCCAAAAAAUGCUUUCAAUAUUUAAUCCAAUCUUCUCCACACACACACACACACAAAAUAAUAAUAAAAAUAAUAUUACAAUUUCUAAUUUAUAAUUGUAUUAUUACUUGUAAUUUAUUUAUUUUUUUUAUGGAGAAGAUUGGAUUAAAUAUUGAAGGCAUUUUUUGGAAGUGGAAAAAAAUUCUUAAAAUAAAAAAAUUGAGAAUUUUGGAGAGUAACAAAAAUGUGAGAAUGGUACAAAAAUGUGAGGAAAUUUUUCUGUAUUUUUAAUAUAGAACUGUUUUGUGCCUAGCUUCCAUCAUUUCUAAAAAUGAUUAGUAUGCCUAAGCAAUAUUGAUGCGAUUAGAAGUGGCAAAAAUUAAUUAAUUAAUUAAAAAAUUAGAAAAAAUAGAGGAUACAAAAAUGUGAGUGUGAUUAGUCUUUUUAAAUAAUAUUAUAACUAUUUGGAAUUGAUUUUUUUUAAAUAAAUUAAAAUAAAUCUUGAAAUAAGUAUUUAUUGUUAAUUACUAAUUGAAAAUUGUAUUAUUCAUUUUUUAUUGUAAAUUUGAUUUGAUUUUAUUAUUUUUUUUGGGGGGGGGGGGGGGGGGGGGGGGGGNNNNNNNNNNNNNNNNNNNNNNNNNNNNNNNNNNNNNNNNNNNNNNNNNNNNNNNNNNNNNNNNNNNNNNNNNNNNNNNNNNNNNNNNNNNNNNNNNNNNGGGGGGGGGGGGGGGGGGGGGGGGAAAGAUUAGAUGAAAUAUUGAAAGUAUGAAAACAAUGCAAUGGUUAAUUGAAGUGGAAAAAGAAAUUGCUUGAUUUCAAUUAAUUCUAAGUGUAAAUUGAGACCUUUCCAAAUUUUCAGUGUAUCAAUUUUUUAAUUUUUUUGGAGAAUAUUUUUCAUCAUUUCUAAGCUUAAUUAGUAUAAAUAAAUAUUAUUACAUUUUCAAGCAAAAAAAGUCUUAAAAUUGGAAAAAGAUUUUUUAAUGUUUUAAUUUUUAAAUUUUUUAAGGAUAAUUUUCAUCAUUUGUAAGCUUAAUUUCAAAGUGAAAAAGAUUCUUAAAAUUAUAAAUUUCAAUCCUCAUAUUCUUCGUAUAUUCUAGAAUUACUUAGUGUUUAAAGUUUUUAAUUUUUUAAGGAUAAUUUUCAUCAUUUUUAAGCUUAAUUAACAUGGAUAAACAAUAUUAUUGCAUUUCUAAAUGAAAAAAAAAAUUAAAAUUGGAAAAAAAAAAUGUAAAAAUUCAAGGGUAUGAAGAAUGUGGAAGAUGGUAAAAAUAAUGUGAGGAGGGUACAACUUUUAUAAUUUUUUAAAUUUUAAGAAUUUUUUUUCCACUUGGAAAUACAAUAAUAUUGUUUAUUGAUAUUAAUUAUGCCUAGAAAUGAUAGAAAUUAUUCUAAGAAAAAUUAAAAAUUAAAACACGAAAAAAUUUGAGAAGGUUCUCACAUUCUCUAUACCCUUCCUCAUAUUCUUCAUGCCCUUUCCAAUUUUGUUUUAAUUUUUUUUUAGGAUAAGUUACAUCAUUUUUAAGCUUAAUUAACAUCGAUAAACAAUAUUAUUGUAUUUCUAAGUGGAACAAAAAUUCAAAAAGAUUCAAAAAAUUGUAAAAUUCCCAGGGUACGAAGAAUGUGAGGAAGGGUAUGAAGAAUGUGAGGAUUUCUCACAUUUCUAUACCAUUUCAAAUUUUUUAGUGUUUUAAUUUUUAAAUUUUAAUUUUUUUAAAAAAAUAAUUUUCAUCAUUUCUAAGCUUAAUUAGUAUUGAUAAACAAUAUUAUUGUAUUUUUAAGUAAAAAAAAAAUUCGAAAAAUUUGAAAAAUUGUAAAAUUUCGAGGGUACAAUCCUUAUAUUCUUCAUACCAUCUCCAAUUUUUUAAUGUUUUAAUUUUCAAUUUUUUUAAGGAUAAUUUACAUCAUUUCUAAACUUAAUUAAUAUCAUUAAACAAUAUCAUUGUAUUUCUAAGUGGACAAAAAUUAGAAAAAAUGUAAAAUUUCGAUAGUAUAAGAAAUGUGAGGAAGGGUACGAAGAAUGCAAAGAUUUUUCAUAUUCUUCGUACCAUUUGUCACAUUCUUUGUACCAUCUCAAAAUUUUUAGUAUUUAAAAUUUUAAAAUUUUUAAAGAUAAUUUCCAUAAUUUUUAAACUUAAUUAGUAUUAAUAAAUAAUAUUAUUGUAUUUCUAAGUGGAAAAAAUUUCAAAAAAUUGUAAAAUUUCGAGGGUAUAAACAAUGUGAGGAUUAAUUAGUAAAUCAUUUUCUAUACAUUUAUUAACGUUGAAUAUUUCUUGAUUGACUUCUUCCUAUGCCCAAGGUUGUUUGUCUUAAUUUGAUGGUCAAUCUUUGCCAUCAAAUUAAAAACACAUUUCAGUAGAAUUGUCUAAUAUCACUUUAAGUGGAAAAAAAGAACAAAAAUGAAUUCAUGAAUGAUUUAUCUUUUCUAAUAAUAUGUUUCGAGGUUGUUUAGAUAAUUGAGAUCUUAUUUUAGGUUAUAUUUGAGUUAAGAACAUAGUAUUAUACCUAUUUUAUUACACUAUAGAGUUCAAAUUGAAGUAAGUGUUGCGAUUUGAUUGAGCGUUUUUAUAAUUUAUAGAUUUCACAAGAUGGGUAAGGAAAAAAAUAAUCAAAUCAUGAAAAAUGUGACUAAGAUAUAAAAAAGUUAUUGAAGUAUAAAUAAUAGAAAUAAAAAAUCAAUCAUGAUUUUAGAAGGAGUUGCUUAGGUAAUUGAAAUAAUUGAGAUAUUAUCAUAAGUUUGAUUCCAUUAAUUUUAGCAUUUUAUGCUACAUAUUUUUGUGUACAUGAUUUCACAUCAUAUACUAGAGUAUGGUAUCAUAUGGUUAUAUGGGCCCUGGUCCGUCCAUGGGCCUAGGUGGCAAGGCCCAGCAAGUUGUCACCUUUUCCUGCUAUGUCACAAGGAACAAGCUCAUCUACAUUCCAUGGCAUGUCCUCCAAAAGUAAAGAACAAGAAAAAUAGUGCCCAAAAUCAAUUUCUAACCAUUUGAAAAAUCUUAAGGUGUGGGUACGAUCUUUUAUACAUUCUAAUUAGAAUUUUCAAGUUAGUCUUAAAGGUAGGAUGAGAACCGUAUAUACUUGAAUCAACGACCAAUUAAGAGUUAAUUAGAUUUGAUUUCAAUUAUGUUAAUGUAAGUUCGAUGUUUGAUUAAGGAUGCUAACCAUAUGUUUUUUAAUCUAGGGUGUAGGCCAACCACAACUAGGCUUCAUUUUGAUUUUUUGUCAUGUUGAGUUUGGUCUUGGUCUCGAGAAAAAUACGAAGGGUAUUUGUUUCUUCACUUAGAAGACUACACUUCAAAUCAAUGAGAAAUACUUAUAGUUUGUUGAAGUAAUUGUACUUUUAUUUUCUUCUUUUUCUCGAAAAAUGGAAAUGUGAUCCUCUAUUUACAUAAAAUUUCAACUUAAAGCUUAUUGAAGAUCAUUGCAUGCUUAUUUUCUUUUCUUUCUUAUAACCAGGUGGAUUUGGGACAGGAUGUACCCAUUUCAACCUUAUCCCGUUUAUUGAAAAUAAUUUUCAUCCUCAUCCUAUUAAAAAAAUUAAAUAAGACUUGAUGAGGUGGGAUGGGAAUGCAAAUUUUUCAUACCCAUCCCACCCUAUCCUAUUUAACUUUGUUUUGAAAUUUUUUAAAAUUUUUUUAAUUUUUUUAAUUACAUUAAAAUAAAUAUAUUUUAUAAACAAUUAAAAUAUUAUAAUUAACUUAUUUUAUUAAAAAAUAUUUAUUAUUAUUACUAUUAUGAUUAUUAUUAUUAUAUUAAAAAUAUAUUUAAAAAAAUUAAUUUUAUAUAUAAUUAGGGUGGAGCGGAGCAAGACAAGACAAUGCUCGAACCCACCCUGAACAUGUCAUCUCUAAGAUAGAUCCUCUAUUUAUAGAAAAUUUUAACUUAAAAAGCUUGUUGAAGCUUAUUUUAUACUUAUUUUCUUCUCUUUCUCAUAAAAAGAUCCUCUAUUGUUUAGAAAAAAAAUUCAAUAAAUAGAUUAUUCACUCUCACACUUGGUGUAUGUUUGGCUAAAAAAAAAUACUACGAAAAAUGUUAUUCCUAAGGUGGUUUGGUUACUGUAAAUAAUGGGUGAGGAAAAAAAUACCGAAAAUAUGGAGCUAAAUAUUUUAAUGUGUAAUUUAGUUUUCUCUUCAUAAAAAAAAUAAUAAUAAUAAAGAGAAAAAUUAGAAGAAAUAAAAAUAAAAAAUAGAUUUAUUAAAGACUUGAAUAAUAACAUGAAGAUUCACAAGAAUAUUACAAAUGCUUUGGUUAGGUUGACAAGUCCGGAUGGAAAGCCCCUCAAUGUACUCCCAACUCAGAUCCUUCAAAUCCUCUCUUGUAUUACUUGUCUAACGAAGAACUUCAAAACGUUAAAAAGUGCUUAAAUGCUAUGUAAUGAGGUAAUGGAUUGACGAAACCAUGUGGAAAACACCAUCAGCCACUGUGAGAGAUACCCAUCGUGAUUCCUCUCCCCUUCAAAGUAUAGGUGUGUUUGUUUCCCAAGAAAAUGAUGUUAAACAUAUAAUUAAUACAUUCCACGACCCUUCUGUCUGAAAAUUUAUUUAAUCUAAACUGAUGUUUGGUUCCCGUGAAAUCCAAUUUAUUAAUGUUUUCGGUCAACACAUCACAUGGUUGAUUUUGAAGCGGUGGAGUAAAUGAAAUUCUUGACAUCAUUAUACAAAGCUUCAGCCUGUGAGGGAUCAAAGAUCUCCACGCCAUGGUGACCGCCAUCAUUGAAUUUAGCCACCACGUGCACCCCACGCGCCUCCAUCAUCUCCGCAAACCUCCUCUGUCUGUCAACCAGUGGAUCCCCACCGUACCCUCUCACCAGACACUUCUGCAGCCGUCCGAUCUUCUCCUGGUGGGACUGGGACCCUCCCGCCAUUGGAUUACUAUACUCAUGAUCACGAUCAGCGCCGUUGGGCAAUGCAAGUGCCCAUAGCAGAUCGUUCGCCGGCAACGGCACGAUCCGAUCGUCCGCCAGUCUCAGUUCCGAUUCGGUCCUCUCCACCCCACCGAAGUAGGGCUGAUUCAGUACCAGCCCUUGGAUCUUCAUCGCCCCAAGAUCAGCAUCAAGUGCACGCACACCUGCGUGGAACACGAUGUUUGCUCCUGCACUGCCCCCCAUCAAAAAGCACUUGGAAAAAUCAGCGUACUCUCUCAGCCACGGCUCACCACCGUCGAUCUCCGCAGCCGCCUGGCUCCGGACCCACAUGAUGGCUUCGAAGGCGUCCUCGUAGGCAGCCGGGAGACGGUGCUCCGGCGCGAGACGGUACUCGAGGGACAGGACCAGAGCUGGAAGCUUAGCUGCCAUGGAGUUGCAAGAUUUGUGGAAAGGCAGAUUAGAGACGCUGAAGAGAACGAACCCACCUCCAUGAAAGUACAAGAUGACGGGAAGCUUGGUGUUUGGAGGAAGAAGACUAGGCCGGUAGAUGCGGAGAAAGGUGUUGUUGGCGGGGUUGAGGGGCACGUCUUUGGAAAAAGCCACAGCGGUGUCGGUGGCGGCGGUGGUUUCAUCAGUAGCGGGUACAGAGGGAAAUGGGCUACUGCGAGUGAGAGAGCCAUCUGGGUUAGGGACGAGGCCGAGGGACUUAUAAGCGUCCAUGGAAGAUG
rnacentral:lncRNA from 1 species